rnacentral:rRNA from 1 species
CCCCUAGAUGUUCUGGGCCGCACGCGCGCUACACUGAACAGUUCAACAAGUCUUAACCUUGGCCGAUAGGUCUGGGUAAUCUUUGAUCGCUGUUCGUGAUUGGGAUAGACCUUUGCAAUUAUGGGUCUUCAACGAGGAAUUCCUAGUAAACGCAAGUCAUCAGCUUGCAUUGAUUACGUCCCUGCCCUUUGUACACACCGCCCGUCGCACCUACCGAUUGAAUGGUCCGGUGAAAUCUCGGGACGGCGGCUUGGUCGCUUGCGUCCGACUGCUGAAACUUGAUUAAACCAUAUCAUUUAGAGGAAGGUGAAGUCGUAACA